UACGGAGGGUGCGAGCGUUGUCCGGAAUCACUGGGCGUAAAGGGCGCGUAGGUGGCGACCCAAGUCGAUGGUGAAAGCUCGCCGCUCAACGGCGAGUCGGCCCACUGAUACUGGGUUGCUGGAGCACUGUAGAGGCAGAUGGAAUUCCGGGUGUAGCGGUGGAAUGCGUAGAGAUCCGGAAGAACACCGGUGGCGAAGGCGGUCUGCUGGGCAGGAAGGCCUCGUAAGGGGCCGGCUGACGCUGAGGCGCGACAGCGUGGGGAGGCAAACAGG
rnacentral:rRNA from 1 species